UUUCAGUCAGCAUGACGGGAACUUUGAUCAACAAAUACCCAUGAGCCACAACCCAUCUUUUGUGAACUAGUAGUAAGUAUCGAGGCGGGGGCGGGCUUGCAGUGCACUGAAUGCUCUUCUUUUAUCAUGAAAGCUGGUGGUUUUGUGUUAUGUUAUACAUUUUUCAGAGAUUCAGUAGGAAACUUGCACCCAGUGAAGGAUUUAUAAAGGUUAAAGAGAUAACACAAAGCUACUUUAUCUCUUCUAAAAAAAAAAAAUCAAAGGUAUAAGCUCAUCCUACACGUGUCAUUUGGGCCAGACCAAGGCUGCUCUCACGGAGAACUCAGACCACAGCUUGGGAACCAUUCAUCUACCAGAGUCACAUGACUUCAAAUGACUCCUCUAGGGACCACCUGCUGUGCUGGGGUAUCAGCUCUUCCUCUGAAUUCCCAAUCCAUUUCUUGAGAACUACUGUUUCUAAUAAGCGUUACUGUUCUAAGCACUCAAUAGUAUUCAAUAUCUUACACACUUUUAAUCUUAGACACAAGAAAAAAGUUUAUUUGUAAGGUGAGUUAACCUUUGUUUUUAAAAAAUGGGUUG
rnacentral:lncRNA from 1 species